AGUGAACGCUGGCGGUAGGCCUAACACAUGCAAGUCGAACGGCAGCACAGUAAUAGCUUGCUCUUACGGGUGGCGAGUGGCGGACGGGUGCUAAAUACCUCGGAAUCUACUUUUUCGUGGGGGCUAACGUAGGGACUCUUACGCUAAUACCGCAUACGACCUACGGGUGAAAGCAGGGGAUCUUCCGAUCUUGCAUGAUUGAAUGAGCCGAUGUCGGAUUAGCUAGUUGGCGGGGUAAAGGCCCACCAAGGCGACGAUCCGUAGCUGGUCUGAGAGGAUGAUCAGCCACACUGGAACUGAGACACGGUCCAGACUCCUACGGGAGGCAGCAGUGGGGAAUAUUGGACAAUGGGCGCAAGCCUGAUCCAGCCAUACCGCGUGGGUGAAGAAGGCCUUCGGGUUGUAAAGCCCUUUUGUUGGGAAAGAAAAGCAGCAGGUUAAUACCCCGCUGUUCUGACGGUACCCAAAGAAUAAGCACCGGCUAACUUCGUG
rnacentral:rRNA from 1 species